CACAACAACCACUUGCAUGAUAGUCAUGCAGUAGCCAUGGUUUCCAACUUGAAUAUUUAAUAAAUGUCUGCUUGUUUUGAUACGGUUAUCGUUGUUUCAGUGAUGCUUAUAGAUUCGUUUUCACGGUGAUACUAUGCUCUUUUGCAUCUUGUUAUCUUGCACUUAUUACUAGUAUUAUUGUUAUCUGUCAUACUUGAUAGUAGUAGCAGUGUGUUCUUUCGGAUGCAUAUUUAUGAGUUGUUAUCUAGUGUCGUUGAUAUGCAUGUUACUUUGUAUCCUGCUGGUUAUAUGUUUACUUGGUAGUAGUCUGGAUGAGUUCUUGCAUGUUAUUUAUUUAUGAUGCUAGUGGUCAUGAUAUGCUCAUGUGUAAUGUUAUGUCCGUCAGCUUACCAUGAUCAUCUGGUUAAUGUUUCAUUAUGGUUAUUCUCGAUGAAUAUGUUGCACCUCCAUGUUUAUGUUGAUUCAUGUUCAUGCGUUGUUGUUGCAUCAUGUUAUUUUAAUAUGACUCAGCUUCUUACAUUCAAGUUUAAUCAGACUUAAUUGAACUUGAACAACUGUUGGUUGAGUCAUGGUGCCACCAUAUCGAGCUGACCAAUGCAACCACAUUUACCUAGUGGGAAGGUCCUAACUGGGUCUAUUGUCGUGCCUCUCGCCGGUGCCUCUAACGAGGGAAGGUUAUGGGCGCGCGCUACCCUGAUCAGUUUGCAGGUCGUGCCUGGAUUGCUUGCUUGUUUGGUGUUGUUCCUAUGUUCGUGAGCUAGGAUAAACGUUCCAGCCAGAUUCCUUGCAGACUGGAGUCCAUCAUCGCCAUUCGUUGUUCCGCUGCCUCGAUUUGUUAUGCUGCUUGUAUAGAGCAAGCGUGGUUGGCGUAGUGUCGUCGUGCCGAUGUUAUUCAUUGUAAUAUCAGAGACCAUGUAUUCCUAUUUGUGUUUUAAUAGAGAGCUGGUUUGUUCUAUA